UCAGAAAAAGAAACAAAAUGGGGAAAUUAGUACGUGGAAAUAGUGUUGAGGAAUCGAGUCUUACUAAACAACAAAAUAUCAGAGGGAAAUCAAAUUCUCGAUGAAUAAACACUUGGCUAACUCUCAUAUAGACGACACUAAUCGUAGUAGUCAUCUCCGAGUAUCGAGAGUACUGGUACAAAACCCGGGUAGGAAGCAUAUGCGUGUAUCUGUGGCAAAUCAUGGCCAACUUUGUCGUAACGCCAAAGCUGUGGCUUCAUUUUUCAUUGCUCAAACGUUUCGAAGCUAUACUAACUGCAAUUUCAUGAUGCUUGUAGCUGGUUGAUUGGUUGUGCUAAAGCUAAAAGAAAGCCAGGCAAACGAAUAGGUACGGUGCAUUUGUCGGUUCAUAAACCCGAGCCGAGCGGUUUUGGUGAACGGCGGCGGACAGCCGGACAAGUGAGAAACCGAAGAGAAUGUGCACAGCGGAGGAGAGAGAUGGAAAACGAGCAAACAUAACUGCAAUUUACUUUGGUCCACCAUUUUUUUCCCUUUCGAGGUUUCUUUCUUCUUGGCAUGUACCAACAAAGCAUACAUCUUAUCCGUCGAUAUGGUGGCUGUGGUUGUUUAUUGUCUUGGAAGUGAACUUUUUCGAAUCCUCUGUAAUAACAUCUUUACUUGUUUGUACUCUCCGAAACGCUCACAUCUCCCUUGCUCUUUGACUACUCGCGUUCGAGGUCAGCAUCUGGCAUUAUAGGCAGUUCGACAAGUUGCGGGAUUGGAUGCUGUGCUGGAAGAGCUCAUUCCAUCCGUUCGACACCGCCGAUGAGAUUCGGAUGACACAGAGGAGAAGGAAAGUCAAUUAUGGGUGUGCGUAAUAAUACCGAGGUAGCAGUAGCUGUGAACGCGGCUACACGAGAAGGUUAUUUCGUUAGUGUUGCACUGCUUUCGGCACGUAGCCCAUCGACCAUUCAGCGCACAUUACCUCGGCCUGCUAGUCGAUGCUGCAUGUAAACGAGGCACGAUCCGAAAACCCUCGAAAAAAAAAAACAAACAUGAACAAAACCAACAAUGCGCAAAGAAGAAUACGUUAAGUAAAUUUUACACCAACACCAAUGCAAGUCGUAGCCAAAACUGAAUAAUCCAUCUAAAAGGUGAACAGUAUUUCUUAGGAUUUUCAUAUUAGUUUUGACUUUGAUUUGUCCAACGUUUCGGUCCGAUUGAAUCUUGUUCAGGCUUCCCGAACUGAAAACUUUGAUAUUUUUCCAAAUAGAACGAAAAAGGAUCCGGAUCCGACCCCAAAUUCGGAUAUCUCGAACUUUUGAUGAUCUAUAGCAAAAGUUGUUUUGAUUGUCUCAACAAAUUGAACGGAGAACAAAUAAGUGCAAAGCUUCAAUAAAUAAACCAGAAUAUGUGAAAACAUUGAACAUAAGUAGGUAGGUGGAAAUGUUGUUACAACAUGUAGAAAUGAAGAAUAAUGGAAUAUCAGUUUUGUAUGAUUUGUUGCAAUAUUUAAGCCGUAUGUUAUAAAACAUGCUGAAUCAAAUGAGUCAUGAUAGAGUUGUACAAUAAAUCUUAAACAAAGCAUUGAUUCUUCAUUAUUCAAAACGAUUUAUGAAGAUUAAUCAAAACAAGGCAAAUUACAAUGUUCAUUACAAGAAAAUAACAGCCCACACUCGAGCAAUACCACCCCCUUAGGAGAAAAAUAUCGAUCUUUGCCUUCCAUUUGACGUGACUGCAAUUGGACGUGUGAGUGAACUAGAUAAUAUGGCACAGUAAACCAACAAAACCAAAGGAAUCGAAUUAGUAGCUCACACAGGAGAAAAUACACGGCGAGUGUGUUCAGGUUUCCAGCCGUGAAGCAUUUUUCAAACUUGCACCUCCGGACACGGACACGGAGUGCGCGCGAGUUAUCGAGCGAAAAAAAAGUUACCCAUAGAAAACACACAACGCAAGAUGAGGAUAAACAUCGACGAGAAAAAAAGCUAACAAUAAACAUGCGCAUUCUGACAUUCCUUAGAAAAAAUAUUCCAUCUCCACGUCUGGCGUUGGAAACCGUCGCUCUCCGCUCACCAGUCGCGAAUGUGGAAGAUGUUGGGAUCCUGUCGAUAUUACACAUUAUUUUACAGCGUGCAUACUUGUACUUCCAGUUUCAAACAUCAAUCGCUCGGUGCUGCUGCUACACUGCACUCUGAAAGAGGAGGCAUUAGUGGCAGAGGCCAGCAAUUCACUUAUUCACAACUUCACAACACAAGUCAUCAAUCGCACACGUCGCCAUUCGCUUGCGUCUGGAUAUGUGUGAUUAUUAUUAUUAUGUGUCCAUAUUCGUGCACACUCUCUGUAUAUAUCUAAAGAGCACAGCACAGUUUUGCAAAGAAGCAAAUGAGCAAAGCUCUGCGUGUCCAUCCGUCGUUGCCUAUAUCUUGGUUUCAUUCGCGGGAUACACCCACACAAGGAAAGACGAAGGAAAUCGAACAUUUUUUUUCACACAACGCUCCAGAACAGUGGGAUCGAUUUUGUGGAAAAUUUUCGUAUCCAAAUUUAUGUAAAGUAAGUUGUUUUUGAAUAACACAAAAUCAGAGCUUGACAAUUACACAAUGCAAUAGAUGGAAUCAGGUUUACACCAAUUUUACAAAUGAUUGUAGAAGUACUGCUUCCACCUUUCAAUCACGUCACUAAGGUAAGAUAAUGUCAUCUUUAUCUCUUCAUAUUCUAUGUCGAGAAAGACAUAGCUGCCCGAUAAGGAUGACAUAGAGAUGUCCGUUGACAUAUCAUUGGUAUACCUGCGUGAUAGUGAUUUGUUUACAAAUUUCCUUUGUUAAGAAUUGGUGAGAACUUCUAUUCUCCCGUAUAUGGAUUGCUUCCGAUAGGUUCCGUGAGAAUUAGAGAAGGAAGUAAGAAGUAUUUCUAUUACGAGAAGAUCCUGGACCGACCGGGAAUCAAACCCUCACCAUGGUCUUGCUGACUACCCGCGCGUGCAUCCCUUCGACUAUACGUACAUCACGAAUCCUCACGAAAUUUGAAUACCCUUCAUGGCCAAAAUGCCCAUAAUUUAAACCCACAGUGCCAGAGGAAGAAAAAAAAUCGUUUGUAGUUGUGCAAGGCAGCUAGCUGAACUUCGCUGCCUAUGAACGUUCUACGCUUCUUCGUCGCGUUUCGAACGUCCGAUUGCACAACUACCACCACCGUUUCCCUCUGGCAAAGGGAACUACACAAAACUUGCAAUAAUUAUUGUGUAUAGUAGUACACAUAUUUUGUUCUCGUUUGACAACCUUUCGAACGGCAGCGGAACACUCUCCUCCUCACUCGGGAGCCCUUUGCUUUGCGCUUCGUUGGUUGGUUGGAGUCUCGCGUUCGUCGUUCCCAGGGUUGCUUCUUCGUUCCUCUUGCUCUUUGUCCGCACCCCUUUCCUCCGCCCACGACGACUCGACGACGAUACCAUUCAAUUCGUGGCGGAAUCAAUUUUAUCCAUCUUCUUCGCAUUCUUCUUUCGACGGGGUUGUUGUUGUCGUCGUUCUUCUCAGUUCGCAGUUGCACCCAUCAGCAAGCAGUAUGCCAACAAAUCAGCAAAAAUAGAAAAUGGAUGCGACUCGCACUGCUCCCUCUGCUGGUGAGCGAAAUCCAUUCAAAGUGCGCCUACUGCGCGUAAAGAUUUGGUUUUGAUUGAACAUGACUUUUCCGGAAGCGGCGGUGGCCAUACAAAUUCAUACAUCCCACUUUCUCGUAGGGUAGCAGCUUAAUCGCCGCGAAAGCAUCAGAACCUCGCACUCGAAUUUGAUGUUAUUUUUAAACCCCGAAGAGACGGCGGACGAGAGCAGGCGAAAAAAUUGUAACAAGAUAAAAAUGAAUUCAAUUCAGUGUUUUAAUAUAAAAAUAACACCCAUACAGGCGCAGGCGAGCCAUUUGGCAUGUUAUUUUCCUUCCCGUCGACACAUCGCGCCAGGGCUGGUUGCGGACACUCAAAAAUGAAACCUUUCAGAUUUAGGUAGCAAGGGUCUACCCCCGUUUGGCAAAAUGCGAUUUGUCAUGAUACCGUUUGGCGUAAGUUAUUUGGCAUAAUUCUGAAUGAAAGACAUAUUUGGCUGAAGAUGGUCAAUCCAAUCAUUAUGCGCUCAUUGUACUGACGAAGGUUCCAUAUUUGACCUUCUCGCGUCCUCCUCAAGUUGUAAUGAUUGAAGUCUCAUCUUCUUCCGAUAGCACUUGAGUUUGACCGACAAAGGUUUAGUCAGAGCGUCGGCGAUCAUUGAUCCUGCAGGGCAGUAUUCGACAUCGAUAACGUUUCUACUCACAAUAUCCCGGAUGAAGUUAAACCGUGUGUGUGCUCUGUACUCCGGCUUCAUCCCUCGACACGUAGCAUCACCAUGCAGCUCUGGUUGUCUUCUCGGACGGAAAUCAGUCCGGUGGCUCUCUUGUUUACGUCCUUCAUUAGCUUCUGCCUGCAGCCAGAUCAGUUCCAGUUUAAAAUCUACAGUUGACUUCAGAUAUCGUAGCUUUCGUUUGGCCUCCGUCCAUUCAGCUUGAGAUGGAUUACUCAUCAUUCACUUCGUCCUUCCAUAGAUCCUCCGAUGAAAUUCAUACGUAGACCCACGAAUCAAAUAUCUUGAGAUGGCUUAAAUCAGGCUUUUCUCCAAUCCAGAGUUCGUACGGGGUAGACGGUAUAGGCUUCGUUAACAAACGGUUUUUCACGUAUGUGGCCGUAUUCACUUCUUCGACCCAGUACUUGUUCGGUAACUGUGCGUCAAGAAUCAUCCAGCAGGUGAGGUCAUUUCCACUAGUAAGCGAUUUUUACGCUCCGAAACUCCGUUCUGUUGUACGCUGUGGUGAACUUCUUGACGACAAUAACGAUCCAGAGUGUCAUUCCGGUACUUACCCCCUUGAUUCGAUCGUAUAAUUUUGGGAUCUUUUCUUAAGGUGUUUUUGGCAUACUACAAGUACAUAGUCUUGAAUCUACUCAGUAACUUCCAUAUUUUUUUUUUCAGAAAAUACACGAUGAUGUACCGGGAAUGGUCAUCGAUCGCCGUAAGGAAGUAAUGAUAACCUCCUGAUGUCCGCGUCUGCAUCGGCCCACAAACAUCCGUGAGGAUAAUGUCCCUCCAAGCAGGAUUCGCUCAUUACGUAGUGUUCACGGUCUUCGAUUUGAAUUCCAGUGGCUAGCUCUUUCUCUCCAGAGCCUGAAUCGUAUCAGGCUCGCGAUGUCCAAGAAUACGAUGCCAAGUAUGCAAGCAGUCAUCCGCUACACGAUCAUGGCACUCUUGGUGGCGAAUCUCUUCAUAGAAACAAGGUUUGGCUGUGGGACGUACAUCAUAUCUGAAAGGAGAACAUUACUGCGUUCCUCCUCCGGAGAUAUCCAUACUAUCCUGUAGGAACCUACUCCUCCUGUGAUGAUCUUCUUACGUCCGUCAUGGACCACGCUCUGCUCAACGCUCCUGCCCGACGUCAGGAAGUAAUCCAGAAUUACACACACAUGUUGGACGUCGCGUUGGAAUUGAUUUCCACGCAUCUCGCUCACAAACCUUCGGCAACAUCAACAACGAAAAUUCCUGCUCCCUGGAAUCUUGGUAAUCAUAACUUGAUUCGGGGCUUCUACAUAGUGGUCCCGAGGAGCGUUCCAUGUCUGCUUGGACGUACUUGAGUUCUUGAUUGGUUGUCUUCCAAAAGCCGCCACCGCCGGUCUGGAUGCGAUCAGGCUUGACAGAAACUCCCUCGCGAGAAAAUGAGGAAGCGAUUUUCUGAGGAGUGAAAAUAAAACUCAGAAAUCACAACGCAAAUCCUCAACAGCACCGAGCGAGAGCUUACCGCGCAGCGAGGAGUUCGUCCAACACUCAUAAUUGCUUGUUGUGCUUCUCACGUCCACUCACACUCAAAAAGCUCUCGCGAGUUCCACUCCCAUACAAAGAAAGACUCUCGAGGCGAAAAUCGCACUCAAAAACCCGAAAUAAUCAUCGGCUCUUUUUUCGUUCCCCUCUUCCUCGCUCAGUUUUUAUUGCCUCUCUGUUUGGGGUUCGUUCGCUCCCUCGCGACGAGGCAAAAGCAAAACACCGCUCUAGAGCAUGUUGCAAAACUCUUUUGAUUUCGAGGAGGAUUAUCAAGCCUGGUUGCGAUCACGAAUCGUCGCAAGUCGUUUCAAACCAUCAAAAAUUCGACCUUCGUCUUCCACGUCCCGUAGUUGCGAUUCUUGAAGAUUUUUCGAAACUUUCUUCGGGCUUGAAACAAUUUUCUUCUCUUUGUUGAUCGGUUGGCAGGGUAAUUCGCGCAGGCCCAUAACCUAUGGUCCACUGCACGAGUUUAUACUGACCUGCUUACUCUCACACGAAAUUUGACGUUUGAGAGGUGUCGGCACCGCUCAAACGUCAAAUUUUCUGUGAGAGUAAGCAGGCCAGCAUAAAUUGGUGCAGUGGACCAUUAGCGGGCAGUAAACGAUCUCUUCAGCAGUCAAACUAGUUCUGUAAUUUAUUACUAGAGUUGCUGUGAUUGGCCGUUAAUUGACUUACACAGUUCUGAAACUGAACUUGGAUGUUCAGGGUGGCCACUCAACUUGGUAAAAUAAAUUCCCGGUUUUUCCCGGUUCUUCAACAACUUUUUCCCGGUUUUGUAGAAACUUAUUUAUAUGGUAAAAUCGAAACACUGUCAUUACUAUUUUCAAUUUUCUCACUUUUCUGAAUUUGUUAAGUGAUACAGAAAAACAUUUAAGCAGGGAGUUCUAGUUAUAACAUUUAUAAUAGAAAAAAAAAAUUGAUGUUUGGCUUAGCAUGACUUGGUCCGGCAAGCCCAUAAACAUCAAUUGGUAGACGUAUUGCCUAGUGAAAAGACAACGCAGAUGGGCGAAAGCCAGGGGAUGCGUUGAUAAUAGCAGAAUAUAAUAGAAAAAAAAAUGAUAAAAGCUAAAUUUUAUAAUGAAACUGACAUUUUCUUCAAUCCUGAAAAAAUGAUAUAUUGUUCAAGGCAGGGUUCCUGAUUUCCACUUUUCAUCUUCUUCCACAUUCGAAGACAGUCACCAGCGAACGGUUGUCGCUUUAGUUCGUGUGUAUGCUUGUCAGCGACGAUAGCAAACUCCGGCGAAUGGUGGGAAGCCACACUUGAAAAUUAUUCAUUCGCCCACAUUCGCAUCGCAAGCGAAUGCGAUUCGUGAGUGAUGCGAUUGAUAUUGUGCAUACGAAUUUUUGAUGUUUUCGAAUUAUUUUCUUUGCUAAUCUAGCAUUUCAACAACAAUACAGUAAAAAUGUAUGCAUUACAUGCAGAAAUUCUCUUCUACUUAUGAUAAUAGCCGCUUCGAUCGCUCACCAGCAUUCUUCACCAUUCGCCAAUCAUUCAUUCGCUUGCGAUCCAAACUGCGACGAAUGGCAACGAAUAUUCAUGUCAAGCAGUUGGCUCAUCGCUUCCCACUGGUGAUGGGGUUGCGUGUUUGAACAUGACGAUCCGUUUGCUGCAUCUUUUUCGAUUCGCUUCAGCAAAGAGGAGUGAAUAUGAAUGGAGUGAGGCGAAUAUACCGAUCCUUGGUUCAAGGAAAUAUUUUUGAAAUUUUAUACAUAUUAAAUUCGCUUUAUUGGAAGUUUAAUAUAAAUUGAUGAUUCGAUUUACAUUUUACUGAGAAAUGAAAUUUGACUUUUCCAUCAAUGCUCUACAUUUACUUCAAGCUAAUUAAAAAAAAAACUAUAAUUGUGGAACUUCCGUGAAAAUAUCCUUGUGAAGCUGGAAAAAAAUCUUACUGAUAGCCAAAGUUUUUGGUGGAGGAAAACUCUGGCUGAAAUGCUGUUAGAAUCUUAUAGAAAAUCAUACUAAAAUUAUGGUAGAAAUUUGUAAUGGAAAUGCCAAGUGAAAUAGUUGGAGAAAAAUCAUAUCGCAUUUUUGAAUAGACUUCUCUAGAGUUCACUGAAGCAAUUCCUCGAAAAUCACUAGAGGAUUUUUUUGAAAAAAUCUUGAACAAAUUAGUAAUGGUAAUCUACGUUAAUUGUUUGUAAACACUUUGAAAUAACUAUUGGAUUCUUGAUAAUGUUUUCUGUUAGAAUAGAUAGAAAUGCCUAGAAGGAUUUCUAAAGAUUUUAAAGAUCCGCGGGAGAUAUUGUUAGAAUUCCCAAAUAAAUCACUCCGGAAAUUGGCUUUUUAAGCGAUGUUGAGAUAAUUCCAUAUUCUGAAUCUGCACGCUAAACUGAGCCGAAAUCCAAAUUUUCAUGAAUUUUGGAGCCCGGGAACCUAUUUAAAAAUCAAUUUGAAGUUAGUAUGGGAGCGAUUUGUCGAAUCACCCCUCGUCGGAUUUUGUACUGAGCGAAGCUGUCAAGCAGUUGCCUAGCUGUCAAUAGGUGAUUUGAAUAAAUCUUUUUGAAAUUGAUUUUAGGGAUCAAAACAAAGUUCUAAAAAUCUGAAAAAAAAUCAUAGAGGCUUAGAAAAAGGUGCUCUUUCGUUUGAAGAUAUAAAAUCACUAAAUUUUUCUUAGUUUAAAAACUCAAUUCUUGCAAUAAAUGCAUGUAACUUUAAAGAAUGUCUUUAGGAAUUAUUGGUAAAAUUGCUAGAUUGUCUUGAAUUUGUUGAAUUGUAGUUGGAAAAGUUAGUUGAGGAAUGUUUUGAGCAAUUCCUGUGGAAAUCAGUCGAUGUAUGUCUUGAGAAAUCUCUGAAAAAUUUGCGAAGAAAGCCUUGGUUAAUCACCAAGAGAGAUUCUAGGCUACCAGCAAUAAUCAAUGUUAUACUAUUUCUGGGAAACAUGUUCAGGUUAACCGGGAAAAAAACAUUAAAAAUUCUUGAAAACGAUCGAAUUCGGAAGAUUUCUAGUAUCAUACAGAUUUGGAAAUGUAAAGUGUUCAAAAAUAUAUUAUUUUUAGUGACAAGAUUUGUUCUGCAAUGUCUGAGGUAGAACAAUACACUGACUGCCUAUCCAAGAUAUUUACUUGUCCUUACUACUCCUCGCACAUCAAGGAAUCAACAUAUUUAUAAAGUUUUUUAGAUUAAAAAUCCUUAUCGUUCUAAAAGUGAAAGUCAAUCAUUUGAUUGACCUUCCAUCAGUCACGCAGUUGGCCAUGCAGCAAAAGCGUGCUGAGUACAAAAUGCGAUUUUUUCAACAUGUUGUGUGAUUAUUCAAGGUUUAGCUUUCGAUCUCCGUAUCUAGUAUCUAGGAUCUAGUAUUGAUAGAUCCUGUUCUUGUAAAAUCACAAUGAUUCUUAUAUAGAUGGAAUAAUAAUGAUUAUCCUGGACUUUCAUUACCAAGGUAAGUUCAACUACAGUUAGCCUAGUGGUUAAGGCUAAGGAUCGCCAAUCCGGAGACGGCGGGUUCGAUUCCCGUUCCGGUCGGGAAAAUUUUCUCGACUCCCUGGGCAUAGCGUAUCAUUGUAUUUGCCUCACAAUAUACAAAUUCAUGCAAUGGCAGGCAAAGAAAGCCCUUCAAUUAACAACUGUGGAAGUGCUCGAAGAACACUAAGUUGAAGCUAGGCCAAGUCCCAGUGGGGGCGUCGAGCCAUAAAGAAGAAGAAGAAGAAGGAAGUUCAUGUUCUAAGCAAAUUCCCGGUAUUUUCCCGGUUGUUUGCGAUUCCCGGUUAAUUCCCGGUUUUCCCAGUAUUCCCGUUUGGGUGGCCACCCUGUGUUUUCUGUGCUGAAUUCCUCAAAGGAUCUCUAUCACAAUUUCUCCUUCAAAUUAUGUUGCAGUUUCUCACAGAAUUAAUCGCAUGUGUUCUUCGAUGAUUUUUUUCAUCCAGAGGUUUAUUACGUAUUGGUUCCCAUGAAUAGUUAUUUGCGAAAAUUGUUCGGUGUUCCUUCGGGAUUGCAUUUCUUCAAAAGGUUUUCCCGAUAUGCUUCUGUUUGUCGCUGGAUUCCUUCCAAAAUAUAUGCAAAGUUCCGUCAGGAAUUUCUCCUAGUGAUUCGACGGAAUAACUUUCCAUCAGUUUCUCUCGGGAUUUGUACAGAAGUUCUUCUAGAUAUUUUUUCAAGAUGGGUUUCCAAUAUUUUUCAUGGAUCUCUUUGCGGAAUUUCUCACAGGUUUUUACAGUUGCUCCUUGAAUUUCCUUAAUAUUUCUUACAACGAAUUUCGUGAAUUAUUGCCGGAGAAUUUCGAGAAUAUUAUAGCAAUAGCUCCAGAAGAAAUCCCAGAAGGAAAAAAAUCUUAGCUCGGCCUGUUGAUUAGGCAAAUAAACAAGAAAAGUCCCAGGAGAACUCUAAGAGAAAUCUCAAGUUUAUUAUUAUUAUAUUUUAUUAAAGACACUUUACCAAAAAAGUUGGCAUUCGUGUCCAAGAAAUCUCAAGUGAAACUUUAAAAGAAACCCCGCAUUUCAGGCCAAACAUGUGUAAAGGUCCAAUCUGCAGAAGAGAGGCUCUCUUUAAUUUCCCUGUCUUUCGUUAAUAUCUCAGCUAUUAAUUUGUAUUAUGAUUGUCUCCUUGCAUUGGACGAUGGUCAAAACAAUCGUCUUUUGAUUUGUACUGCAAAAAUAGUUGAAAAGUGUACCAUUACAUUGCAAUAAUUGAAAGAGAAAGUGAACAAAGAGAGCCUCUCAAUUGCAGAUAGGACCUAUUGAAAUGUUUGGCCUGAUUUAGGAAAUAUCAAAGCCGUAACUUCUAUAGAAAUCCAGAGAAGAACUCUAGAAGUAAGCUCACGGAAAUUUCGGAGAAACUUCGAAAUAAAUCCCAGGAGGAAAUAUUUGUGUAAAGACCCUUAAACCCUUUUGCCUUCAAAUGCUUCAUGUUUUACAUCCCUCAAAACUCUCUAGUAAAAAUUCCAGUAUUAACUCCCGUAGCAACUCUGGAAUAAGCCCCGGGAAGAUUUUCUGGGGAAAUUCUAAGACGAAUGCCGGAAGUAAUCGCGGAAAAUAUUCAUGAGGAAUCCAUACAAAAACUUUAGAAGAAAUCCCGCGAUAACAUCUUUGAUAUAUUCUGAGCGAAACUGUUGUGGAGAUGUCAGGAUAAAUUUUGGCAGAACUCUCAGUAAAUGUCUUUGAGCAAGACGCAGGAGGAAUUCCGUAGAAAUCCCACGAAAGACUAUGCUACCAUGUGCAACAUAGUUGUCUCAAUGUUAAUAAAGAUUCCCAUAGACUAUGGGACAAUUAUGCUGCGCACGGCAGUGUCGGGAAAAUCUCUGGAAAGUUCUGCAAAGAAAUUCUGUAGGAUCCCGUGAAAAACUCUAGAAGAAAUCAGUCAAAAAUUAGGAAUUUUGGAGGAAUCCCGGUAAGACUUCUUGAAAAUAGGAAUCCGGAAGAAUCUCCAGGACUUCAGAAACGAAUAUCGUAAACUGGGGAGUAAUUGAUCAGUGGGUGCACGGUGUCAAAAUUUCGAUUAUUAUUGAACUUUUAUGUACCUUGGAACUUUGUUCAGAGAAUGUCAGCUUUCCGGCUAUAUUUUAUAAUUGCAAAGCUUGAAAAUACUCGAUCGGAGAAAUUUUGAUUUACCUAUUUUACCUAUUUACCUAUUUAGCUAUUUUCCAUACCAAAAUUCAUAAGGUAAAGUUUUGAGCCGAAAAACAUCCUAUUCAAAAUGUAUGGGAAAAUUUUCUCCGAUAGAAUAUUUUUCAGUCUUCCGAUGAGGAAAGUACAGCCGAAAUACUAAUCAUUUUCGAAGAGGAAUCCGAGGUACAUAAAAGUUCGAUAAUAAUCGAGAUUUUGACACCGUGGGGGUGAACCUGAUCACUUAAUUACCCGCGGAUAUCGAAUUUCAAGGAAGCAACAAUAAUAUUUUAACCAUUCACAAUCUAAUGACAUAACAUUAAAAUGGAAUGGUAACUUCCUUGGAAGUCGAUAUCCGUGGAUAAUUGAGUGAUCAGGUUCACCCCACUGAUCAACUACACCCCAGUUUACGGUAUCAUGAAAAACAACGUCGAAAAAACCGGAAGGAGUCUUGUAAGAAAUCCUGGGAGGCAAUGCAAAAGGUAUUUCUAAAAAACUUCCAGAACAAACCUUAGAAAAAUCCUUGUAGUGGAUUUUUUGUGGAUGCACACACUAACGCUACCUACUCUUCAACAACUUUUUUAUUCUGUAGAUGUACAAUGUAUAAACUCUGUUGACUCUACUGCCGCCACUCGCAUAACAGUCCCAUUUUUGCUGGGUUUCCUAUUCAUAUGGGACUGUUUUGCGAGUGGGGGCAGUCUACGUUUGAGCUGAUCAACAAGAAGUAAACUUCAUUAAUUUUAAUUCAUACAACCCGAUAUUUAUUUAUUCAUCGGAGCAAAAUUUCCCUGAGUAUUCCAGGGUUUUCCCUGUUAGGGUUCGUUCAAAUAUUACGUAACGUUAAAGGGGGAGGAAGGGGGUCCAUCGCUAUGUUACGCUUCAUACAACCAUUUAAAUAAUCCAUACAAAAAUUGUUACAUCGGGGAGGAAGGGUGUCUAAAAUUGUCAAAUUUUGCGUUACGUAAUAUUUGAACGAACCCUUAAUUAAAAUUCCAUGAUUCCCGGUUUUUUCAGGUAGUAGACAUCAUGCACGGGGGUGAAUCUUCGUCACGAAAAGCACUGCCCGUUCGAUAGCUCAACACUAGCGAACCUGAUGGUGGAAGUCAAGCUUUAGCCUACAGCGAGCAUAGGGAGGCGGCGUAGCACGCUUUGAUGAUUUUUUAUUUUCCCAUGUAAAUUCAUUCCAAUCUACACUGAAAUAAUUCUAAGAGCCUUUUUUAUCAGACACCACACAUACAUUGUACCUCUAGUCUGACACGUUCACUUCAAAUGAAUCGUUAUACGUAUUAUUUCAUAAACAGUUCCGAUUGAAAAGCCUUCCAAUAAAUCUAAAUGACACUUGCGCAUAUCGGAGUUAUAUGCAUAUUCCACGAUCGAUACAUUUUUCCUCAUCUGUAGAGCCUUUUAACCACUGCGUCCAUUAUUUAGGAAUAUUGUGGUAUGACCCAUAUUUAAUUUGGUGCUAGUCAAGUAUCCUGUCACAAUUGAGCUGUGAUGGACAAUGGUUGAUGUAACACCUGAUCCCAACUAGGCACAACUCGUUUUAUAAAGUUUAUUACCCUGUUGGGAUUACUUCUCCAAAUUUCCAAGGGCUCUAGAAACCCUUUACCAAAUAUCGCCAAUCUGUGAUGGUACAGCACUCCGCAGUUGCAGAGUAAAUGCUCGGCAGUUUCGUUUUCCGUUUGACAGAAACGACACUCGGAGGAUUGGAUUUUUCCAAUCUUACUUAGAUGAUAUUUACUCGGGCAGUGGCCAGUCAUCAGACCAGUAAUUACCCUGAGAUCUCUUUUGUUUAGAUUCAGUAUGGACCUGGCUUUUUCUGCACUGGGUUUUAUGAACCUUUUUGCUUGCUUGGAUGUAUCCGUGGCAUUCCAAUUAGAUUCUACCGUGGACAUUUCCCAAGUUUUUAGUUUCAUCCGAAGAGCACACUCAGGAACUCCACAGAAAGGUUCAGGGCCUACAAAGCUUGAUGCCGCACCCUGUCUAGCUAAAUUGUCGGCGUUUUCAUUUCCCAGAAUUCCACAAUGACCGGGCACCCAGUAUAAAGUUACCUCGUUCCUACUGGCCAAUUGCUUCAGAGAAAUAAUGCAUUCCCACACUAGCUUUGAUUGACACGUGAAAGCUUUUAGCGCAUUUAGAGCCGCCUGACUGUCCGAAAAAAUACAGAUCUUGGCAAACCUAUAAUUUCUUUUCAGACAAAUGUUGGCACACUCUAGAAUGGCUUGAAUUUCCGCUUGAAAUACAGUGGGACUGCAUCCCAUUGGUAUAGCCUUACUGAUACCGGGGCCAAAAACACCAGCUCCAGUAUUUUCUCCCAUCUUGGACCCAUCAGUAUAAAAUACAAUAGAACCUGGACGUAAACUUGGCCCACCAGCAUCCCAAACAUAGCGACAUGGUUUCACCACUUUGAAGGGAACAUCAUAGUUGGUCUUCGUUAUCAUCCAAUCUUCUACUGUUUUUAUGUCCAUGUUUAAUUUGAAGUCUUUGAUGAUCCUCAAAUGUCCAGCAAGAUCCCCGUCUAGGACUUUAUUGUAACGUAUAAACUACAGGGCACGUUUUGCCGCUUGUAGUUUAACAAAUUGAUGCAAUGGCAGUAAAUUAAGAAGGGCAUCCAAAGCAACUAAUGGAGUGCUUUUCAUUGCUCCUGUCAUAGAUAUACAUGCAAGUCUUUGUAACUUACUUAGCUUCUUUUGACAGGUUACCUCAUUUGUUUUGGGCCACCAAACAAGUGAAGCAUAAGUAAUCUUAGGCCGGACUAUUGCAGCAUAGAUCCAGUGAAUCAUGUUAGGUCUAAGACCCCAGGUUUUUCCUAAGGCUUUGCUGCAAACCCAAAGGGCAUUGGUACCCUUGGUUAAAACAUUGUUUAAAUGAGAAUUCCAAUUCAGUCUUUUGUCCAAAGUUACCCCAAGAUGUUUAACUUCUUCUGAGAACUGAAUUUGAACUCCAUCUAAAGAAGGUUCAGUAAGAUUUAUUUUUAACCUUCUAGUAAAAGGUACAAUUACAGUUUUUGAAGGGUUUACGUUUAAUCCCUCCUCUCGGCACCAUUUGAUGGUAACAUUCAACGCAGAUUGUAGCCGGCUAGAUAUCGUGUCGUCAUAUUUUCCACGUAUCAGAAUAGCUACAUCAUCUGCGUAUCCAAUAACCUCAAAGCCUUGAUUGAUGAGUUUUUUAAGGAGUUCGUCCACUACCAAAGACCACAAUAAGGGCGAUAGUACUCCUCCUUGAGGACAGCCCUUCACAGAUCUUACUGAUAGUUGCGCACCUCCAAGAACGGAAGAGAUCUCUCGAUCUCUAAGCAUCGAUAUUAUCCAUUCAAUAAUGCAUUUAUCCAAGCCCCUUGCUUCCAUUGCAGAACGCAUUGAGCUGUAGGAUGCGUUAUCGAAUGCUCCUUCAAUGUCGAGAAAAGCAACCACGGCUAUUUCCUUGGCUUGGAACGAUUUCUCAAUUUUGCCGACUAGCGACUGUAGCGCUGUUAUAGUAGAUUUGCCUGUUUGAUAAGCAAAUUGAAACUUGCUUAGAGGCAUUUCUACUAAGCUGGUAGACUUGGCAAAGUCAUCCACUAUUUUCUCCAUGGUCUUUAACAGAACACAAGAAAGGCUUAUGGGUCUGAAGGCUUUUGGAGUUGUUUUGUCCCGCUUGCCAGCUUUUGGGAUAAAAACAUGCCUUAGGUAUGUAAGCUAAAGUAAUACUGGCUCUGAAUAUUUCGGUUAAGAGCGGACGAUCGAUACAUUAGCUGUGCAUAUAACUUUGGCCAGGUGGAAAAGCAACAUUGGCAGAUGAAGUGGAACAUGUUUUGCAGAAUUCCGCAAUUCCAGUAAGUAUGCUUCGUGGUCGUGCGGCUAGCGGCGUCGGUCAUUUGGGCGUUGUGAGUUCGAUUCCCGCUCCAGCCAAGGAAACUUUUUUUCAACAUAUGAAGGAUAUUAUUGGAGUUGCAUAUACAUUGGUGCACCCAGCCCACAUGAUAGAAGCAAAAUGCAUGGCAUAUAACAGUAUCAUGGCCAUCUGAGAGUCAUACCACAUGCGUCGCAUAUAACUCUCACUUCACAUUUUCAACCCUUGAUUAGAUUCAUAUGAUAUUCCAAUAGUGCAGAAAUAUAUGACUGGCACAUAACUGCGAUCGAGAGAGUUGGCUCAGUGUAGUUUUCCAAGUGGAAAUUUCACUACUUCCACCUCGAAACUUCACAUUUGUUCGAAGAUACACAUCUGUUCUGUGCAUCAUGUUCAAUGAAACCUCGUCAUCCUGGGAUUAGACUACUCUAUUCAGAUAACUGGGCACAAUUUGUGCUGUAUUGCAUGCUAUGUUUUGUGCAUUUGUAAUGUUCCAUUUUAGUUUUCGUAUCGGUGCCCAAACGUGGAGCCCGAUGCGGACACUAAAAACCGAGCAUUUGUUGGGAUCUGCUAAUAUUUGACCGUAAUGUGUCGCCCAAUGUGAGAUACGAUGUAUUUGUAGUGCUCUGCAAAACUUUUGUUUGUUUCAACCGGCGAUCGAUGCGUUGCAACAUCCAGCGUUUUUCAGCAGACGAUAUGAUUGCUGACUAUCACCAGAAGCUGAACGAGCGGGAUGAAAUCAACGAGAUCGAAAAUCUCUGUGGGAGGUGACCUAUUUGCAACUGAUGAGGAUCUAAGGACUCUAAGGACGUUCAGAACUACUGGAAGCGAUUGGCCCAGGACCGAGACUAGUAAGGGCGAAUAAGCGCCAUUCGGCGUAAACUCGCCGCGACGAGCUGCAGCCCAUCAUGAAUCAAGUCAGGGUAACGAUGACGGGUUCGGUUGAUCCAGGAACUUUCCGUAAUGGAAAUUUACUUGACUUUCUUGAGCAUAGAGUAUCUUCGUUCCUGCCACAUUAAGUACACAUGCCAAAUCGUCCCCUUAAUGCUAGAACUAGGUAACUGGUUUUGCGAAAUCGCGAGCAAUUUGUUUACUUCUGAACGUUCACCACAAUAAACAAAAGUUUGUCGAUUGAAACUACAAAAACACAUAAUGAUGCUUCAUUUAAGACCGACAAAGUGUUUGUUUUAUAGCAGGAUAAGUUUUAUGUACCAGCCAUUUUUACCCAUAUUUUCCAAAACGAGUUACCUAGUUCUAGCAUUAAGGGGGCGAAAUAAUCAUUGAUAGAUGAAACUCUCAGUUAAUAACUGUGGGAUGCUCAUAGAACAGCAUGCUGAAAAGCAGGCUUUGUCCCAGUUGAAACGUUACACAAAGGACAGGGGAUCUAGAAAUGACUUUAGUUAUCCGCCGUCAUCCUACUUCAAAUCCAAGGAGCCCUCUGUUUUUCCAUGGGUCUCAUAGGAAAGACACCAUUUUUAACAUCAGCGUUCGCUAUCAUCCCUGUCUGCCAGCGAAUCGACGUCGUAUUGAUGAUGGGGUUCGGAUUCGUGUGUCUUUGUUCCGUCGUCGCGAGUUGGUUGGUUGGUUGGAAGCAGCAGUACUUGCGUGUUUUUUAUUUGCGCUAAUGAAAACCGACACGCACACAGCCUCGCGACCUCAAUAGGUUCGAUGACGACGACGGCGGGAGACGGGAAUAGGUACAGCAGCAGCAGUAGUAGGCUUUGCAAUAGCCAGCUAGAAAGAGGAGCUGCUCGCGAGACGGGAAUCCGAUAACGGCAAUUGGACUCGCGGAUUUUUUCGUCUUUCACUGCUGCUCCUCUGCACAAGUUGAUU